GCAGUAGUUGGCAGUCCUACAACAGAAGGCAACGGUCAUGCGGCGGUGGGCGCCAAGCAACAAGAAAAUAACGUCAUCACAUUGAGAGAGAGGCAAACCCAUGUCGUUCAAAAGUAGGCACAAUAAGCCCUUGAGAACCGCACAAUGAACGAUCCAUGCGUAGAAUAACACCUGUCGGGAGACUAACAGAUGUGAAAGUAUAUGCAGAGAAUUGUUCACACCUACACAAAAAAGUUGCACACCGAUCUAUGCAUCUUUCUCCAAGUGAAAGAGUAAACUAUGAGGCAACGGUAAAUCUAAAUGAUUCCACAAGAUGGCUGAAGAAAAGAACCCUCUACUUUCAGCCAUUCAGAUUUGUCCCCUUCAGCCCUAGAGGGGCUAACUUAAUGAAGAAAAAGAUCAUAUGAAAGACUAAAGUUCUGGAAAAGACAAGAAGAUUGAAGCAGGAGCGACUAGGCUCGCAUAAAAUUACUGCAGGUGCAUACCUUAAAUCACACAAUAGUAGUUUCAUGCAAACCAUUUUGUAUUAACUAUGAUCAAAUAAGUAGUGAGACUAGCAUCCACGUGCUUUU
rnacentral:lncRNA from 1 species